GGGGUCCUUCAGGCUCAGUGUCUCGUCAGGAUGAUGUCACCGGCGGCAAAUCCGUAUCAGGUUCUAGAAGGUGAGGUGGUUAAAAGCAUCCUCUCUGCUGGUUUGGAGGAACACCACACUGCUGUUACACUGACUCAGUUGCAGUCUGCGAGAUCUCCAUGCGCUGCUCCGUAGAGGUUCGGACCCGACGAUGGCUCGUCCUCCCCCGGACCCCGUGUUUACACUGAGGGGUUCGGCUGCCUCGGUUAACACGCUUCACUUUCACUGCGCUGAGGCGGGGCUCCCGCUGCUGUACUCAGGAUCAGGAAAAGGUUUAGUCCACGUGUGGAACCUGAACACCCGACGAGCGGAGAGCGUUUUAGACGGCCACGCCGGAGCUUCCGUCAUCUGGGUCAGCAUCGUUCGCUCCACAAACACCUUGCUCAGUCAUGGUCGUGAUAUGCAAGUGUGCUUGUGGGAUUUGCACGAGGGUCGGCGUACCGUAGCGCAUUCGUUGCACACAGGAAGUGUCGGGUUCUGCCAGUCUUGUCUCCUGGAGGGUGAUGGAAGUAAACCUCUGAUUGCACUUCCAGCAGAAAACAUGGAGGAGAUAAAGGUGAUGGAGUUGGAUAGUCAGACGCUGACCUGCUCUUUAAUCCCGGACGAUAAACACGGCAUGCUGAUGUGCAUGAAGAUGUGGCAGACAGACGCUGGUCCCCUGUUGUGUGCCGGUUAUGAAGACGGUUCUCUUGUGAUUUGGGACGUGUCCUAUCGGCGUCCUGUCAGCUGCCUGAAGCUCCAUCCUGAACCUGUCAUGUGCCUGGACUUUGACGUCGACCGGCAGAAAGGAAUCUCUGGUUCCUCAGACAAGAACCUCUGUUCCUGGAUGUUUGAUGGCCAGCAAAACCUUCAGCCAGGAUUGUGGCAGCCCAGGUGUCAGGAGGCCUUAAUCACAGAAUCUGGAAAACGUUGUGGUAGAGAAGACGAAGCAAAGGGUCAAAAAGCAGAAUAAACAACCAGAAACAACACUUGGAAAUAAAUGCACACAUGGAAAUAGCAAGGAUUCGAGGUGGCUGUUAGAAGUUAUUUGAAUCAGUGGAUGAAAUGGAGCUAAACUGGAAACAGGUGCCGCCAGGUGAUGUUGGAUUAAGGACUCUGUGCCAUUGACCAAUCCCGGAGUGUCCCAUCUACGUAUCCGUGGUGACAGUAAGAUCGUCGCGUCAGGCGGCUGGGACGGAAGCGUGCGGAUUUUCAACUGGAAGAUGAUGAAGCCACUUGCUGUCCUGCAACAUCACAAAGAUUUGGUUCACUGCGUGGUGUUUUCCGACCAUCCGGAGCCUUCGAAACGUCUGAUGGCUGCAGGCUCAAAGGAUCAGCGCAUCAGUAUCUGGUCUAUUUACACAGAGAGAUAAAUGAACCUUUUUCACUUCCCAGGGCACAAAAUGUCAUUGUAAGUAUAUUAAGGUCACAUCGCAGCAUUUUAGCAAGUUUCUCCCUCUUGAAAGGAUCUUCCUAACUCGCAUCGCAUUACAAGAAAAGUGGGUUUUGUUCAGGCUUAAAAGUUUGAGCUUGGCACUCAGAUACACACAAAGUUUGAUGAUGAAUGUUAUGACUGGGGUUCUGGUGCAGCCCUGUACUUCCAGCCAGAAGGAUGAACAAUCAAUAAUAAUCAAUUAAAUAACUGAGACGUGAAUGGAGUGAGUCUUUAAGAAUGCUUUCAGAAAACUCAGAGACCAUAUGCCUAUUAAUUCAAGCCAUGUGUUCCAGCAUGGCUCCCAUUUCUUUGUGUUUAUCUGAGGCUAUUGAAGUUAACACAAGUUCCCAUCUGCUCUGUGCUCCAGGCCUGAUUUAAAUCCCAGAACACAGUGACUGAGCAUCAUUCACCAAACACCAUCGAACCCAAAUUUUGGGUUGGUCUUGUCAUACAGUACCUGUGUGUGAUUGUUGGGAAGUGUCUAGAAUGUUCUCUGCCAUUCACGUGGGUUCAUUAAGCUUGGCAGUUCUUUUGCUGGAAUGUAAAGCCAAGCCAAAUGACAUUUGAGCGGUGUGUAGUGGAAAAUAAAGUCGAACAUGUUUAAUAAAGA